AUGCUAAAGAUUGAUCUUGCAAAAGCUUUCGAUCAUAUUGAAUGGAACUUCAUAGUUUCUGCUCUUUCUCGUAAAGGUCUACAUGGCCAUUUCAUCAAUUUAAUAUAUGCAUGCAUCUCCACGCCAGUUUUCUCUGUCAUCAUUAAUGGUACCUCUCAGAAAUUUAAAAGUCAACGAGGUAUUAGACAAGGCUGCCCUCUUUCUCUGCAUCUUUUUGUGCUGGCUAUUAACAAACUUUCUCUUGCUCUUAAUGACGCUUUGGCUACUAAAAAUCUUGAGGGUAUCAUGCUUGGUCCAAAUUGGCCUCGUGUGCAUUAUUUUCUAUUUGUAGAUGAUUUACUCGUAUGUGGAAAGGCGUCUAUGCAGGAGGUAGAAGCGAUGCGUCAGGUUCUCCACCAUUUUUGUACUGCUUCAGGUCAGAUCCCAAAUUGGUUUAAAUCUGCUAUUCUGUCCAGUUCUCAUGUUAGCCAGGACAUUAUCUCUGACAUUAAAACCAUAUUCUCUGUUCCUAACAUGGAUGAAAAUUUUACACAUCUUGGACACCCGUUUAUACUUCCUGCUAAGAACAGGACUGUUGUUUACAACUUUGUCUUGGACACAUUUAUGGCCAAACUUCCAUGCUAUAAGGCUAACAUGCUCUCCCAUGCCGGUAGAUUAGAGCUCAUAAGAUCUGUUUUUUUCCUGCUAUUCUAG
rnacentral:rRNA from 1 species